ensembl:lncRNA
GUGUGCCUAAACCCAGAGUAAAGGGUGUGUAGACGUGGAAUAAAGGGUGUGUAAAACCGGAGUAAAGGGUGAGUAAACCUGGAGUAAAGGGGGAGUAAAACCCGGAGUAGAGAUUGAGUAAACCCGGAGUAAAGGGUGAGUGAAAUCCGGAGUAAGGUGUGAGUAAACCCAGAGUAAAGUGCGUGUAAACCUGGAAUAAAGUGCGUGUAAAAGCUGAGUGAAGGUUGAGUAAACCUGGAGUAAAGUGUGAGUAAAACCCGGAGUAAAGGGUGACUAAACCUGGAGUAUAGGGUGAGUAAAACCCGGAGUGAGGUGCGAUUAAACCCAGAGUAAAGGGUGAGUAAACCCGGAAGUAAAGUGUGUGUAAACCUGGAAUAAAGGGUGUGUAAAAGCUGAGUAAAGGUUGAGUAAACCUGGAGUAAAGGGGGAGUAAAACCCGGAGUAAAGGGUGAGUAAAACCCGGAGUGAGGUGAGAUUAAACCCAGAGUAAAGGGUGAGUAAACCUGGAGUAAAGCUUGAGUAAAACCCGGAGUAAAGUGUGUGUAAACCUGGAAUAAAGGGUGUGUAAAACCUGAGUGAAGGUGGAGUAAACCUGGAGUAAAGGGUGAGUAAAACCUGGAGUAAAGUGUGAGUAAAAUCCGGAGUGAGAUGUGAGUAAACCCAGAGUACAGUGUGUGUAAACCUGGAAUAAAGGGUGUGUAAAAGCUGAGUAGAGGUGGAGCAAACCUGGAGUAAAGGCUGAGUAAAACAAGAGAAAAAAGUGAGUAAAACCCGGAGGAAAGUGUGUGUAAAACCUGGAGUAAAGAGUGAGUAAAACCCAGAGUAAGCUGUGACUAAACCCAGAGUAAAGGUUGAGUAAACCUGGAGUAAAGGGUGAGUAAACCUGGAGUAAAGGGGGAGUAAAACACAGAGUAAAGUGUGUUAAAACCUGGAAUAGAGGGUGAGUAAAACCUGAGUAGAGGUUGAGCAAACUUGGAGUAAAGGCUGAGUAAAACCCAGAGUAAGGUGUGCCUAAGCCCAGAGUAAAGGGUGAGUAAACCUGGAGUAAAGUGUGAG